rnacentral:sRNA from 1 species
AAUGCGGAGGAAAAGAAACCAACAGGGAUUGCCUUAGUAACGGCGAGUGAAGCGGCAACAGCUCAAAUUUGAAAUCUGGCCCUUGGGUCCGAAUUGUAAUUUGUAGAGGAUGAUUUUGGUGCGGUAUCUUCCGAGUUCCUUGGAACAGGACGCCUUAGAGGGUGAGAGCCCCGUACGGUUGAAUGCCUAGCCUCUGUAAAUCUCCUUCGACGAGUCGAGUAGUUUGGGAAUGCUGCUCUAAAUGGGAGGUAAAUUUCUUCUAAAGCUAAAUAUUGGCCAGAGACCGAUAGCGCACAAGUAGAGUGAUCGAAAGAUGAAAAGCACUUUGAAAAGAGGGUUAAAUAGCACGUGAAAUUGUUGAAAGGGAAGGAUUUGUGACCAGACUUUUUCUGGGCGGAUCAUCCGGGGUUCUCUCCGGUGCACUUUGCCCAGUAAAGGCCAGCAUCGGUUUUCGGCGGGGGAUAAAAGCAGUAGGAAUGUGGCUCUCUACGGGGAGUGUUAUAGCCUAUUGUAUAAUACCCUGCUGGGGACCGAGGUACGCGCUUCUGCAAGGAUGCUGGCGUAAUGGUUAUCAAUCACCCGUCUUGAACCAACGGACCU